CGAAGGCAAAGCCAGCAGGAUUACGAAACGGGGUCCGGCGGGCAGCGUCCUCCAGAGCGGCCCCCUCCAACCGCAGCAGGGGCACACCUUCCUGCCCACCCCACCUUCCACAGUCAACACGACCGCGAGCCAAACCCAGCCCGGGUCACGUCUGGCCGUCGCUUUUGUCCUGCUCCACGCUGACCACCUUUUUCCGGAGCAGGUUAACGGUCCGGAGUCCGGGGGUGCGCCCUGCGGCCCUGCCAGACGAUACUGGACAACAGUGAGGGACAGAAUCUGAAGCGAUUCUGCUCAAUGCACAGGACUGAUCUGCACUUAUCUGUGGGACACAGGACGCCAGCUUCUCGGGCAUGGUACCCACAUCAUUAAAGCUGGAGACAGUGAGGCUGACACGGAUUCCAG